rnacentral:lncRNA from 14 species
AUGCUUUACAGCCCAGUUACUAACAGUCCAGUAGACUGAAUUGCAAUCAACCUGGAAUCAAGAGAUUCUGCAGGAGAACUGUUUAAAGAAAUAGGGAUUCCCUCCCUAUACUUGUUUUGUUUGGCAUUUGUUUCCCUUAGAGGUGCCUGCAAGCAAGUUUUCAAGACACAGAACCACUGUGGAAUCACAGAAUAAUCAACUCCCAGACUGAGCUACGC